rnacentral:rRNA from 1 species
GAUGAACGCUGGCGGCGUGCCUAAUACAUGCAAGUCGAGCGAACGGACGAGAAGCUUGCUUCUCUGAUGUUAGCGGCGGACGGGUGAGUAACACGUGGAUAACCUACCUAUAAGACUGGGAUAACUUCGGGAAACCGGAGCUAAUACCGGAUAAUAUUUUGAACCGCAUGGUUCAAAAGUGAAAGACGGUCUUGCUUUCACUUAUAGAUGAAUCCGCGCUGCAUUAGCUAGUUGGUAAGGUAACGGCUUACCAAGGCAACGAUGCAUAGCCGACCUGAGAGGGUGAUCGGCCACACUGGAACUGAGACACGGUCCAGACUCCUACGGGAGGCAGCAGUAGGGAAUCUUCCGCAAUGGGCGAAAGCCUGACGGAGCAACGCCGCGUGAGUGAUGAAGGUCUUCGGAUCGUAAAACUCUGUUAUUAGGGAAGAACAUAUGUGUAAGUAACUGUGCACAUCUUGACGGUACCUAAUCAGAAAGCCACGGCUAACUACGUG